rnacentral:lncRNA from 1 species
GUCUGCCUAAUGUCACGGAUCGCAAGGUCAUGACUUGAAACUUGGCAUGACACGGGAAUGUCAUGGCACAAGGUGGGAAAACGAGAUAGACUUAUGGCAAACAAGGUCUAUGCUUCAGCGAUAUAUGGCGAUGAGUGCAUCGUCAAAUUCAGUGGGGGAGUGACUUAUGCCUCACGCGAUCGCAUUCGAUUCGUCCCGGUAGCGAUCGCAAGAUGGCGCGGGUAACGCGUUUCUGAAGGACGGAAUAGCUUGCGAUAGGGGACGCAAGUAGACUGUUUUGGGGCAGAAUGCAGGCUGCCUAGAUCGUGCAGUUUUCCAGGGCAUUAAUGAGGUUUUUGUAAGUCCCGACCCAGCCAUUUUGAGAGGAAAAAUACAUGGACCUGCAGCCUGAUAUUUUGAGGAUGCAAGUGGACAACUUGCACAACUUGUCCACUUGUGGGCCACUUGCAAGCUAAGCACGAGUUGUAUGCAAGCUAAGCACGAGUUGGCAAGGAUAAAUAUCAACGGUGCAAGUUAGGCGCGAGUUGUACGCAAGCUAAGCACGAGUUGGCGACAACUUGCAAGGCAAGUUGUAAUACCAUCCACUUGAAGACAACUAAGAAUGAGUUGGCGACAACUAAGCACGAGGUGGCGACAACCAAGUACGAGUUGUAAAGUGGAAUGGUAAGGAGGUUUAAGUUUGCCUAUAAAUAGAGAGGUAUUCUCAUUUGUAAAUGGUAUGGAGUAGAGGUUAGAAAGUGUAGAGAAUAUAAGAGUGAAGAGAGUUUAUUCAUUAGAGAGAUUAUAAAGUUUUUCCUUUCAUUUAUAUAAAGAAAGUUUCCCCAAUCCUUACUUGUUUUCCAUAUAUUACUUACUUCAAAAUUCUCUUCUCAACGUGGGUAUAAUUUAGCCUCAUUGGUUAAAUUAUUUGUGGGCGUAGAAAGGCUGACUUAACGUUUUCUCGUGAGGUGCGAAAAUUGUAGAGCGUUAAGGCCGCACGGCUCUAGUUUGUUCGGG